rnacentral:rRNA from 1 species
AUACGGAGGGAGCAAGCGUUAUUCGGAAUCACUGGGCGUAAAGGACGCGUAGGCGGGUUUGUAAGUCAGGUGUGAAAUCCUACAGCUCAACUGUAGAACUGCACUUGAAACUACAGACCUAGAGUAUGGAAGGGGCAGAUGGAAUUAGUGGUGUAGGGGUAAAAUCCGUAGAUAUCACUAGGAAUACCGAAAGCGAAGGCGAUCUGCUGGGACAUUACUGACGCUGAGGCGUGAGAGCGUGGGGAGCAAACAGGAUUAGAUACCCUAGUAGUCC